rnacentral:rRNA from 1 species
UACGUAGGGUGCGAGCGUUGUCCGGAUUUAUUGGGUUAAAGGGUGCGUAGGCGGCCCUGUAAGUCAGUGCUGAAAUAUCCCAGCUUAACUGGGAGGGUGGCAUUGAUACUGCGGGGCUAAGAGUACAGAUGAGGUAGGCGGAAUUGACGGUGUAGCGGUGAAAUGCUUAGAUAUCGAUCAAGAACACCUAUAGCGAAGGCAGCUUACUAGGCUGAU